rnacentral:rRNA from 1 species
GACGAACGCUGGCGGCGUGCUUAACACAUGCAAGUCGAACGGAAAGGCCCUGCUUUUGUGGGGUGCUCGAGUGGCGAACGGGUGAGUAACACGUGAGUAACCUGCCCUUGACUUUGGGAUAACUUCAGGAAACUGGGGCUAAUACCGGAUAGGAGCUCCUGCUGCAUGGUGGGGGUUGGAAAGUUUCGGCGGUUGGGGAUGGACUCGCGGCUUAUCAGCUUGUUGGUGGGGUAGUGGCUUACCAAGGGUUUGACGGGUAGCCGGCCUGAGAGGGUUACCGGCCACAUUGGGACUGAGAUACGGCCCAGACUCCUACGGGAGGCAGCAGUGGGGAAUAUUGCACAAUGGGCGGAAGCCUGAUGCAGCAACGCCGCGUGCGGGAUGACGGCCUUCGGGUUGUAAACCGCUUUCGCCUGUGACGAAGCGUGAGUGACGGUAAUGGGUAAAGAAGCACCGGCUAACUACGUG